rnacentral:rRNA from 1 species
UUGACCUCGGAUCAGGUAGGAAUACCCGCUGAACUUAAGCAUAUCAAUAAGCGGAGGAAAAGAAACCAACAGGGAUUGCCCUAGUAACGGCGAGUGAAGCGGCAACAGCUCAAAUUUGAAAUCUGGCUUUCGGGCCCGAGUUGUAAUUUGUAGAGGAUGAUUUUGAUGCGGUGCCUUCCGAGUUCCCUGGAACGGGACGCCAUAGAGGGUGAGAGCCCCGUCUGGUUGGAUGCCAAAUCUCUGUAAAUCUCCUUCGACGAGUCGAGUAGUUUGGGAAUGCUGCUCUAAAUGGGAGGUAUAUGUCUUCUAAAGCUAAAUACCGGCCAGAGACCGAUAGCGCACAAGUAGAGUGAUCGAAAGAUGAAAAGCACUUUGAAAAGAGAGUUAAAAAGUACGUGAAAUUGUUGAAAGGGAAGCGUUUAUGACCAGACUUGGGCUUGGUUAAUCAUCUGGGGUUCUCUCCAGUGCACUUUUCCAGUCCAGGCCAGCAUCAGUUUUCGCCGGGGGAUAAAGGCUUCGGGAAUGUGGCUCCCCUCGGGGAGUGUUAUAGCCCGUUGUGUAAUACCCUGGUGGGG